AAGCAAUUUGCUCAUAGCCAUAGCUUUCUUGUGAAAGUAGGAUAUUAACCCAGGUGUCUUGGUGCUGGAGAACAGAACUGGCCAGAGUCCAUCCUGUCUCCCACCGGCAUCCCAUUACGAAAUGAACACAGAAAAGGCAGGUCUGCAAUGCCAACAUCUAGUAUCUAUCCCAAAGACCAGGGAGAAAGGAAGGAAAGAUUCUGGUUCUGUCCUCUUCCCCAAGGCAAGGCUGGCUGCCCUACCAACAGAGGCAAAGAGAAGAGUGUGCAAGGCUGGCUGCCCUCCCAACAGAGGCAAAGAGGAGUGUGUGUUGAAAUAUCCAUUGAAUCCCUGAGACAACUGGAUCCUGGCCCAUUGAAUCAUAAACUCAAAUCUCACAUCAUAACCCCAAAUGACCUGUUACUCACCAUGUGGCCCAGCUGUCUUCAAACUCACCAGCCUCCUGCCUUAGCCUUCUAAAUGCUUGGAUUACAGGCAUGACCCACCAUAACUGGCUUUGUUUUAGUUUCAGAGAAGAUGAAACUGAUGUGCGUCAAAAAGUUAUGGAGGCUGGGAAGACCUAGAAUGUGGCAUCACUAUUUGGUUAUUUAGAAAAUUGUUACCUCAAAAAUGACCUAGGGGUCCUUAGAAUAAUAACACACAGAAGAAUAGCCUCAUUUUUCUGUUGGGCCCAGGAAACCAUGCCGAUUACCGACCGAGCUCUCAAUGGAAAAAUGCAGUCGGCGUGAACCACGCACGAACACAGCAGAGAAAGAAGAAAACACACACCACGAGGAACCCUAAUAGGACAAUACAUUAUAAGCCUCAUGGUACAUCCACUUGGUGUGCUGGGAGAGUCAGGAUGAGGACCUGAGAAGAACAGCAGCUUGAACCUGACUUCAUUUAACAGCCCACUGCCCUCUUGCCAAGAACCCAUCACAGACCUUCCCAGAAGAGAGGGAUGAGCCUCACCUAUGAAUAAGUCCUCAGAAACUCAAAUUUGAUUCUAAUGGAUUGUUUUCUCAGAAAGACUGAGCAUGUCCCCCCACAUCUCUGUCAUUUCCCACAGUAGUAACCUCUGCAGAUGCCACAUAGAAAACAAAACAAAACAAAAAAACAUGAGGUUGGUGGGCAGAUAGGCAGGGUAUAAACAAACAGCCUUGUAACCCAGAAGCUGUGUGAUAUACAGUAAACUUCACAACACUGAAAAGAUGUCCUAUCUGUUAAAAUGGGGUAAUAACAACUACCCGAAUGUUUAGGAAUAGAACUUCAAUAAAUGAUACAUUUUAUAGUACAGCAGACCAUCCUGUAAAGGUUUCAUCCUUCACUGUGGUGAUAAAUAUCCCAAACCACAUUGAAAAGCAUUGCAUCUACAUUUAUCUACACUGUAACUGUACUGUAAAUCAUGGGGGAGGGGAGAAUCAUAAAAACACCACCUGUCACCGUGUCAUUAAAGCAAGUUGGAAGUGAUACUUACAGAAACACAGCAAGAGCACCCCCAGUCACACAGUUCAAUCUCUUAGCAAGCGUUUUCUUUCUAGCCCAGUGGUUCUCAGUUUGGAAUUUUUGGCACUGCCUAGAGAUAGUUUUGUUGUUAAAACUGAGAAAAGAGCCGGGCGUGGUGGCACACGCCUUUAAUCCCAGCACUCAGGAGGCAGAGGCAGG
rnacentral:lncRNA from 1 species